rnacentral:rRNA from 1 species
UACCUGCAGCUCGAGUGGUGAUCGUUAUUAUUGGGCCUAAAACGUCCGUAGCCGGUCUUGUAAAUGCCUAGGUAAAUCGUAUGGCUUAACUAUACGAAUUCUGGGUAGACUGUUAGACUUGAGACCGGGAGAAGCUAGAGGUACUCCUGGGGUAGAGGUGAAAUUCUGUAAUCCUAGGGGGACCACCAGUGGCGAAGGCGUCUAGCUAGAACGGGUCUGACGGUGAGGGACGAAGCCCUGGGGCGCAAACGGGGAUUAGAUACCCCGGUAGUCCAGGGUGUAAACGCUGCUUGCUUGAUGUUAGUCUGGCUCCGAGCCAGAUUAGUGUCGGAGAGAAGUUGUUUAGCAAGCUGCCUGGGAAGUACGGCCGCAGGACUGAAACUUAAGGAAUUGGCGGGGGAGCACAGCAACGGGUGGAGCGUGCGGUUU